rnacentral:rRNA from 1 species
GUGGGGAAUAUUGCGCAAUGGGGGAAACCCUGACGCAGCGACGCCGCGUGAGCGAAGAAGGCCUUAGGGUUGUAAAGCUCUGUUUUAAGGGACGAAUGUCGUGGGGAGUAAUAUGCUCUGCGAAUGACGGUACCUUAAGAGGAAGCCCCGGCUAACUACGUGCCAGCAGCCGCGGUAAGACGUAGGGGGCGAGCGUUGUCCGGAAUUACUGGGCGUAAAGAGCACGUAGGCGGGAACUUAAGUCAGGUGUGAAAGACCGGGGCUCAACUCCGGGGUUGCACUUGAAACUGGGUUUCUUGAGGGCAGGAGAGGAAAGCAGAAUUCCUGGUGUAGCGGUGAAAUGCGUAGAGAUCAGGAGGAAUACCAGUGGCGAAGGCGGCUUUCUGGACUGACCCUGACGCUGAGGUGCGAAAGCGUGGGUAGCAAACAGGAUUAGAUACCCGGUAGUCC